rnacentral:sRNA from 2 species
UGUUCCACUCCCGUCAUUUUGAAAUGACGUUGAAGAUUCCCACGUUUGCGCAGCGCAAUAUUGAAUACGAGAAUCGAAUCCACGAGUCAGAGCUUGGAGAUCGGAAUUUGUAAAAACUAUAUAAGGAUACCCAUUCCCCUGCCUCCUCAAGCAGCUCCUUCGUGACUCAAUCUACCUCAGACUACAUAACCAAAUCAGAGCAGCUCAUCAUGUCACCAAGCCCUCUUGUCGCCAGCCAAAAGGUUCUUGACCUUCUCCAGAGGCUUCAUGCGGCUUCUAUAGCUCAAGAACGGAGCAUUUCCACCAUUUUCUGGUUCCUGACCAGAAAAGUUCGCACUCUUUUCACGAACCAGAGAUGGUCAUCUCUGGAUGAUAAUUUUACCAAGGAUAAAUUCGUUGCCCUGGAGGUUGACAAAAGCGAAUUUGUCUACCUCCUUGCACGGACUACCGGUGCGACUACUAUAGUGGAGGCGGGUACAAGUUUCGGUGUUUCCACUAUUUACUUGGCUCUGGCUGCUGGGCAAAAUGCCACUGCACUCUCUCCAUCUCCCGAUACACCUGGACAGGGGGCUAAGGUGAUUGCUACAGAGAAAGAGCCCGAGAAGGCCAAACGCGCUCGGGAACAUUGGAAGGAGGCGGGGCCUGAGGUUGAGCCAUGGAUCACUCUGUUGGAGGGGGAUUUGAACAACACUCUCCCUACCGAGUUGAAUAGGG